rnacentral:rRNA from 1 species
UACGUAGGGGGCAAGCGUUAUCCGGAUUUACUGGGUGUAAAGGGAGCGCAGGCGGCGGAGCAAGUCAGAAGUGAAAACCUCGGGCUUAACCCUGGGAUUGCUUUUGAAACUGCUUGGCUAGAGUGCUGGAGGGGUAAGCGGAAUUCCUAGUGUAGCGGUGAAAUGCGUAGAUAUUAGGAAGAACACCGGUGGCGAAGGCGGCUUACUGGACAGUAACUGACGCUCAGGCCCGAAAGCGUGGGGAGCAAAC